UGGCGAACGGGUGAGUAACACGUGGGUGAUCUGCCCUGCACUCUGGGAUAAGCCUGGGAAACUGGGUCUAAUACCGGAUAGGACCAUGCUUUAGUGUGUGUGGUGGAAAGUUUUUUGGUGUAGGAUGAGCCCGCGGCCUAUCAGCUUGUUGGUGGGGUAAUGGCCUACCAAGGCGGCGACGGGUAGCCGGACUGAGAGGUUGGUCGGCCACAUUGGGACUGAGAUACGGCCCAG
rnacentral:rRNA from 1 species